rnacentral:rRNA from 1 species
UACGUAGGGUGCGAGCGUUAAUCGGAAUUACUGGGCGUAAAGCGUGCGCAGGCGGUUGUGCAAGACAGAUGUGAAAUCCCCGGGCUCAACCUGGGAAUUGCAUUUGUGACUGCACGGCUAGAGUGUGUCAGAGGGGGGUAGAAUUCCACGUGUAGCAGUGAAAUGCGUAGAGAUGUGGAGGAAUACCGAUGGCGAAGGCAGCCCCCCUGGGAUAACACUGACGCUCAUGCACGAAAGCGUGGGGAGCAAACAGG